GGUGGUGGCAACGGACGGAACGGCUCUACAGUGAUCGCUAUCCUCUGCUUUUGCAGUUACUGCGUUGGAACACUUCACUGUCUUCAAAAUCACCGCUUGCCUGCUGCAGCUUCCCGAUAGCGGCCGCUACCACGUGUCAGCUACAGCUCUACGUCAUGAGCCACGUCACCGCCGUGCUGACUUAAAGACGACGGCAAGCCUUCGACGAGCCCAUUUGCUCAGUGGUGGUGGCAACGGACGGAACGGCUCUACAGUGAUCGCUAUCCUCUGCUUUUGCAGUUACUGCGUUGGAACACUUCACUGUCUUCAAAAUCACCGCUUGCCUGCUGCAGCUUCCCGAUAGCGGCCGCUACCACGUGUCAGCUACAGCUCUACGUCAUGAGCCACGUCACCGCCGUGCUGACUUAAAGACGACGGCAAGCCUUCGACGAGCCCAUUUGCUCAGUGGUGGUGGCAACGGACGGAAUGGCUCUACAGUGAUCGCUAUCCUCUGCUUUUGCAGGAGACCGCCACCCCGAGAAGCCGGAGGAAACGAGACAGGCAUGACGUUUUGACGGAAACGCCACCUUCGGAGAGCGGAAAGAAAGGAAAUACGCAAGCGCUCGGAAGGCCGACAAAGAGAGGGCGGUGCAAGCGUAGACAUGGUCGGCACGGGUCAAAGUUAAAUAUCUGUUAUGAGCUUAAUAUCCGAUACAGGUUCCAUUUGGAACAAAUAUAUUAAACUUAUUUUUGCAAGUUGA